ACUGGCCGCCGGCAAACGCAAUGGAAGUUGCGCACGCAAAGCCACAGGCCCAAGCGCUGGAAUGCGGGUUCCGCGCGGGCAGCUGGGUUGCAUCU
rnacentral:ncRNA from 1 species